rnacentral:misc_RNA from 1 species
UAACUACAAGUUGAAAAAUGACGUUGAAUGACUCAUGACAUCAUUUCCAAACAGAAAAAGUGCGCUUCAAAUUGAUUUCUUCUUGAUGGAAUAACUUAAGUUCUUUGCUAGCUCGAACUACACUAAGGUUAAGAACUUAUACAAGAUUACUGAUCACUUGAAAGAAAAGUUGUUCCAAGGAGUAUUCGCAAGGAAAGAGCCCCAUUAUAAUAAGCUGUAUAAAACGUACAUAAGACAAUGAAGCGUAUGCUCUUUGGAUUAUUCUUAUUGAAACUCAUUACUCUACAUGUUGCUGGGAAUGACAACCUAGUGGAAGAAUCGAAAGAUGGGUGGGUUGACCCGUUUGAGAUGGGAUAUAGUUCAUCUUCUGACUUUAAAUCCGAACCUAUCGUGGAUUCGAAGGGUCAGGAAUCUUCUUCUACCAACGGCGAACAUGAUUUGAGACUUUUAAGGAUUGUCAAAUUCUUUAUCAGAGCAUUAAGGGACUCCAUGAGGGAAGAACAGCUAUCAAAUGGAUCAAAAAUUGUUUGGAAAACUGAGAUGACGUUGAAUUCGUAUGAAUUUCAACUCCUGGACUCAUUUACCGAUCUGUCCUAUUCCUCGACAUCCUUGAGAGAUAUUGAAGAUGCUCUUUUAUCUGCCUUAUCAUCAGCAAAGCCCCUACAAGAAAUCCCUCUUCCCCCAAAGUUACCUUACAUUUCACUUCCUGUGUAUGAUCCAGAAGAUCUCAUGAUCAUCACUCUAUUUGCACUCCUCCUCUGUCUUGGGCUUGCUUUAUUUACUGGAAUAAUCUCCUAUGGAAAAUUUUUCGUUGGAUUUAUUGGACUUUGUUCCAUAUGGAAAUGGAUUCAUCUUCGUAAGUCCAAACAACUUGAUAAAGACAUACCUUGUGAAGAAGAAGGAAGUUGGAUUUCUGGGUAUUUAUAUCCCACAUGCAAAAAAAGUACAAAGGAUCAUUUGAUGAAUCCGAGUUAUGAAGUUGCUCCAACACAAGCUCUUAUAGACACACUAAGUGAAAUAUUUUUUAGACCUCUUCCCAUAUUUGGAGAUCACCUUGGAAAGUUCUUUAAUUCACUUUGGGGGGAUAACGGUUUUUUUAGCGCAAUGUUUGGAUAUGGAUUCGUAAUAAUCUUUACUUUGAUUUCGGUACCCUGCACCAUUAUAAGCCUGUUUUAUUUUGGUGUUCCUAAAGAAAGAAAGAUGAGUCUGACCGUCCUAAUGGUGAUAGAGUCGAUAACAAUAAGCUGAAGAGUUUGGAGGAUCAAGUCCAAAAACUAACAUCCACGAUUUGUACUCUUCGCGAAGUUCAUUUACAAUCAAUGGAGUAUAACAUGAAUCGUAGAAUGGAAGAAAUAAAGAUGUCCAGAGAUACCCCAAGAAAUGCAUCACUUGCAAUAAAACACAAUGCUCCUAUUCUUGAGGAUAAUCCCCCUUAUAAAAAGCUGAAGGGUCAAUACUAUUCAGCCUAUGAGGCGUCCCCAAGUUCUCUGAAUGAGGAGUUGACCAAAAAGGAGGAAAAGGAUGAUGACCCAACAGUUGAUGGAAGUAAAAGUGCGGCUCGGGUUGAAGGUAAUGAAGAUAAAAUAACUACUUUAUCUAGCAAUCUCAUACUCUCACCCCCAACCCAUUUCAAAAAUUCGAAGGAUGAUGAAGCCACUGCUAAGAAAGAAGAUAAGGUCAAGGAGGAAGAAGUACAAGAUAUUGACGAUGAUGAUGAGGAUUUUGAGGUCAUUUCGAAGAGUACUCCUCCUCCAGAAACGGAAGACGAAGAAAUUAAGCAAGGACAUGAUUAAUUUAGAAAACUUAAUUAGGUAAGAAUGGAAAAAAAAUAUUGGACAAUCCGUGUGUGAGUGUGUAUUAUAUAGCUUUAAUUUGUUCAUCUUCAUACGAUGUCCAUGGCUCCGAUUUCAUGAGGACUCUCAUUUUUUCCUUGUGUUCCAGGUAGCUCCUUGAAAAGAUACAUCGUCAAAAGCCAGCAAGUUGUAUCAAAAACUAGGAAUAAAUAAAUUAAUCACAUUAUUUUGACAUCAGCACACUCUCAUUUCCUGCAAUAUCAGUUCUCUUUUUGACAUUAAUUAUUAUUAUUAUAAUUCAUUUGAUUAAUAUUAGUACUAGUAUUAUAAUUAUACAUUCUGAAAUUGUGAUAAAAUGAAUAGGAAUUGGGUUUUCAAACUUUAUUUGUGUGUAAAAUUGUAUAUUAGAUUAACCCAAAAUUUUAUAUUCCUUCAUAUAUAAAAAUAUACAUAUGUUUAAUUUGAAAUAUAGGUACACAGAGGUA